rnacentral:rRNA from 1 species
ACACAUGCAAGUCGAACGGAAAGCCCCUUUCGGGGGACUCGAGUGGCGAACGGGUGAGUAACACGUGGGUGAUCUGCCCUGCACUUUGGGAUAAGCCUGGGAACUUGGGUCUAAUACCGAAUACACCUUGCUGGUCGCAUGGCCUGGUGAGGAAAAGCUUUUGCGGUGUGGGAUGGGCCCGCGGCCUAUCAGCUUGUUGGUGGGGUGAUGGCCUACCAAGGCGACGACGGGUAGCCGGCCUGAGAGGGUGUCCGGCCACACUGGGACUGAGAUACGGCCCAGACUCCUACGGGAGGCAGCAGUGGGGAAUAUUGCACAAUGGGCGCAAGCCUGAUGCAGCGACGCCGCGUGAGGGAUGACGGCCUUCGGGUUGUAAACCUCUUUCAGCAUCGACGAAGCGCAAGUGACGGUAG